rnacentral:rRNA from 1 species
UACGUAGGGGGCAAGCGUUGUCCGGAAUCAUUGGGCGUAAAGAGCGUGUAGGCGGCCCGGUAAGUCCGCUGUGAAAGUCCAGGGCUCAACCCUGGGAUGCCGGUGGAUACUGUCGGGCUCGAGUCCGGAAGAGGAGUGUGGAAUUCCUGGUGUAGCGGUGAAAUGCGCAGAUAUCAGGAGGAACACCAAUGGCGAAGGCGGCCAUCUGGGACAACACUGACGCUGAAGCACGAAAGCGUGGGGAGCAAACAGG